UACGUAGGGGGCAAGCGUUGUCCGGAGUCAUUGGGCGUAAAGAGCGCGUAGGCGGCCAGAUAAGUCCGCUGUGAAAACUCGAGGCUCAACCUCGAGCUGUCGGUGGAAACUUUCUGGCUAGAGUCCGGAAGAGGAGAAUGGAAUUCCUGGUGUAGCGGUGAAAUGCGCAGAUAUCAGGAAGAACACCCGUGGCGAAGGCGGUUCUCUGGGACGGUACUGACGCUGAGACGCGAAAGCGUGGGGAGCGAACAGG
rnacentral:rRNA from 1 species